rnacentral:rRNA from 1 species
UACGAAGGGGGCUAGCGUUGCUCGGAAUCACUGGGCGUAAAGGCGCGUAGGCGGCGUUUUGAAGUCGGGGUGAAAGCCUGUGGCUCAACCACAGAAUGGCCUUCGAUACUGGGACGCUUGAGUAUGGUAGAGGUUGGUGGAACUGCGAGUGUAGAGGUGAAAUUCGUAGAUAUUCGCAAGAACACCGGUGGCGAAGGCGGCCAACUGGACCAUUACUGACGCUGAGGCCGCGAAAGCGUGGGGAGCAAAACAGG